GACGAACCGUGCGAACGUUGUUCGGAAUCACUGGGCUUAAAGGGCGCGUAGGCGGGCGGCCGCGUCCGGGGUGAAAUCCCACGGCUCAACCGUGGAACGGCCUCGGAUACGGGCGGCCUGGAGGCGGGUAGGGGCAGGCGGAACUGUGGGUGGAGCGGUGAAAUGCGUUGAGAUCCACAGGAACUCCGGUGGCGAAGGCGGCCUGCUGGACCCGAACUGACGCUGAGGCGCGAAAGCCAGGGGAGCGAACGGG
rnacentral:rRNA from 1 species